rnacentral:rRNA from 1 species
AACGAACGCUGGCGGCAGGCUUAACACAUGCAAGUCGAGCGAGACCUUCGGGUCUAGCGGCGGACGGGUGAGUAACGCGUGGGAACGUGCCCUUCUCUACGGAAUAGCCCCGGGAAACUGGGAGUAAUACCGUAUACGCCCUUUGGGGGAAAGAUUUAUCGGAGAAGGAUCGGCCCGCGUUGGAUUAGGUAGUUGGUGGGGUAAUGGCCCACCAAGCCGACGAUCCAUAGCUGGUUUGAGAGGAUGAUCAGCCACACUGGGACUGAGACACGGCCCAGACUCCUACGGGAGGCAGCAGUGGGGAAUCUUAGACAAUGGGGGCAACCCUGAUCUAGCCAUGCCGCGUGAGUGAUGAAGGCCUUAGGGUUGUAAAGCUCUUUCAGCUGGGAAGAUAAUGACGGUACCAGCAGAAGAAGCCCCGGUUAACUCCGUG